rfam:Ovis aries breed Texel chromosome 2, whole genome shotgun sequence.
UCCCUGGUGGUUUAAUGAUUAAGACUCUAUGCUUUCAAUGCAAGGGGCACAGGUUUGAUCCCUGCUCAGGGAA